UUAAAAAUCAAAAAUCACUUCAUGUUUCUAGCCCAGAUGGCCUGGGAGGGUAUAACUCCUGUGGAACAGCAAAGGAUCCCAGAGCAAGGCAGUUCAGCAGCAUGGUAUCCAUUUACUGAUUCAUUCAUCCUGCAACAAGCAUUAAACACCUUCUCUAUGCCAAUGACUAAGAACACAAUUGUAAUCAAGAUCCUAAGAAGUUUAUCAAAUGAAGGACAGUAAGAAACCUUUACACAUAAUUUUAGAGCUAUGGAAAAAUGUCAGCUUUGAAAGCCCACAAGGAGGAAUUCUCCUAAUUCUACUUUGGGGAUCAUAACUGGGUAAAAUAAACUCUUUCCAGGAAGACA
rnacentral:lncRNA from 1 species